rnacentral:rRNA from 1 species
UACGUAGGGGGCGAGCGUUGUCCGGAUUUAUUGGGCGUAAAGAGCGUGUAGGCGGCCUGGCAAGUCCGCUGUGAAAACUCGAGGCUUAACCUCGAGACGUCGGUGGAAACUGCCUGGCUAGAGUCCGGAAGAGGAGAGUGGAAUUCCUGGUGUAGCGGUGAAAUGCGCAGAUAUCAGGAGGAACACCGGUGGCGAAGGCGGUUCUCUGGGCAUUACCUGACGCUGAGGAGCGAAAGUGUGGGGAGCGAACAGG